rnacentral:rRNA from 1 species
UGCCAGCCGCCGCGGUAAUACGUAGGGGGCGAGCGUUGUCCGGAAUUACUGGGCGUAAAGGGUGCGUAGGUGGUCUUUUAAGUCGGAUGUGAAAUACCCGGGCUUAACCUGGGGGGUGCAUCUAAUACUGGAAGGCUAGAGUGCAGGAGAGGAAAGCGGAAUUCCUAGUGUAGCGGUGAAAUGCGUAGAUAUUAGGAGGAACACCAGUGGCGAAGGCGGCUUUCUGGACUGUAACUGACACUGAGGCACGAAAGCGUGGGGAGCAAACGGGAUUAGAUA